rnacentral:rRNA from 1 species
AUACGUAGGGGGCGAGCGUUGUCCGGAAUGAUUGGGCGUAAAGGGCGCGUAGGCGGCCCGGUAAGUCUGGAGUGAAAGUCCUGUUUUUAAGAUGGGAAUUGCAUACGAUACUGGGGAGCUAGAGUAUGGGAGAGGAUGGUAGAAUUCCAGGUGUAGCGGUGAAAUGCGUAGAGAUCGGGAGGAACACCAGUGGCGAAGGCGGGUAACUGGACUGCAACUGACGCUGAGGCGCGAAAGUGUGGGGAGCAAACAGGAUUAGAUACCCUGGUAGUCCACACUGUAAACGAUGAAUGCUAGGUGUAGGAGGUAUCGACCCCUUCUGUGCCGCAGUAAACACAGUAAGCAUUCCGCCUGGGGAGUACGGUCGCAAGAUUAAAACUCAAAGGAAUUGACGGGG